rnacentral:miRNA from 1 species
CUGGUGAGUCUGGGUGCUGAUG